UACGGAGGAUGCAAGCGUUAUCCGGAAUGAUUGGGCGUAAAGCGUCCGCAGGUGGCAAUGUAAGUCUGCUGUUAAAGAGUCUAGCUCAACUAGAUAAAAGCAGUGGAAACUACAUAGCUAGAGUACGUUCGGGGCAGAGGGAAUUCCUGGUGUAGUGGUGAAAUGCGUAGAUAUCCGGAGGAACACCAGUGGCGAAAGCGGCCACCUGGACUGCACCUGACGCUGACACGCGAAAGCUAGGGGAGCGAACGGG
rnacentral:rRNA from 1 species